rnacentral:rRNA from 1 species
CAAUAGCGUAUAUUUAAGUUGUUGCAGUUAAAAAGCUCGUAGUUGGAUUUCGGAUGGGACUUGCCGGUCCGUCGUUUCGAUGUGCACUGGCCAGUCCUAUCUUGUUGUCGGGGACUAGCUCCUGGGCUUCACUGUCCGGGACUAGGAGCUGACGAGGUUACUUUGAGUAAAUUAGAGUGUUCAAAGCAAGCCUACGCUCUGAAUACAUUAGCAUGGAAUAACACGAUAGGACUCUGGCUUAUCUUGUUGGUCUGUGAGACCAGAGUAAUGAUUAAGAGGGACAGUCGGGGGCAUUCGUAUUUCAUUGUCAGAGGUGAAAUUCUUGGAUUUAUGAAAGACGAACUUCUGCGAAAGCAUUUGCCAAGGAUGUUUNCAUUG